rnacentral:tRNA from 2 species
GCCUCCAUAGCUCAGGCGGUAGAGCGCAUUCUUGGUAAGAAUGAGGUCAUGGGUUCGAGUCCCAUUGGAGGCU